UCCUACGGGAGGCAGCAGUGGGGAAUAAGGGACAAGGGGCGAGAGCGUGAUCCAGACAAGCCGCGUGAGUGAGGAAGGCCUUAGGGUUGUAAAGCUAUAUUACCCGGAAUGAUCAUGACAGUACCGGGAGAGGAGGCUCCGGCUAACUCCGUGCCAGCAGCCGCGGUAAU
rnacentral:rRNA from 1 species